rnacentral:lncRNA from 1 species
GACAAGACAUUUUUUCACUUUAUUUGUAUAUCCAACUUUGAUGGCAUAUAUCUCCAGCUAGGGUACCGCAAUUUUGAUAAAUGAGGUAUUUUUUUAUAAUGUAUAUACUAGAAGAGAAAACAAAACACAUAAUAGCAUAAAUUUGAUUUAUUUUUCUCUUUUAUCACUACACUGAGCAAGCUAAAAUCAAAAGUACAAAAUUGCAUAACAAGCGCAUAGUAUUCAACUUUUUAUCAUAACUUUGUAACCACUGAAGAUUUUUUGUUGCAACAACCAGUAAAAGAAAGAUGAAUAAAUUGUCUAUAACAGUGAACCAAUAAUGUAGUUCAAAUUAAGUUCACUUAUUAACUAUCAAAUGAUAAAAACAGCGAAAUUUUAAAUGAAACAACAUAACGUGAAAUUUUGCCCAUUUUCAGCGUGUAUUUUAGCAUUUUAGUGUUUUUUUUCAAAACGGUAACACCUAUACAUAAUAUUUGAUAUUCAUUGUGAAGCCCUACAUUCUCUUCUUCAGUUCAAAGAUGUAUUACUUAUGUAAAGUUUAUCUUCUUGUCUUUACAAGCCUAUAACAUAGACCCAAUAUGAAAUGCACAUCUGAUCUUGGCUAGGCCGUUAGU